UCCAAUCAAUUCAAUCCUUUACAAAUUAAACAUGCACACAUUCCAGUUCAUGUUCAACAACAACAAUGAUCCUCUUUAGUACCGUAGAUAAUGACAGACCUUAAUAUUGUGAAAAUAAUGUGAAAGCAUAAAAUGAAUAUUGUGAAUUUUCUCAUUGAAUUAUUGAGGCAUGAAAAGCCUUAUUUAUGUGUAAACUAACUAGCUAACAAACUAAUAAACAUAUGUUGAAAAACAAUUCAACAUGUGUUAAUGUGUAAAAUAUGUAAAAUGUGGUAGUUUUGCUCUGCAAUAGCCCUCUCAAGCUGGAGGAUAAAUGACAAUGACUCUAGCUUGAUAAUUCAAUUUGAUAUCGUGACAAUGUAAUGAAUCAAAAUCUCGAUCCUAACGUGAUUGGAUUUUCUCAAUCACUUGAUCUUGUUGUUGUUGAUCUUGUUGUUGUUGUUGUUGGUGUUGCUAGAGGACUUAAUAUUUGUCCCCAAAUUUGUGAUAACUUCUUUUCUGGUAUAUUCUAAAACACUUGGGCUAACUAAAUGAACUUCUUCUUUCUCAUCUUGUUUGUUCUCCAAUUAUGGCAGCAGAGAAUAGUUGAGACCAAACACUGUUUUGGGUGAAAUAUCCAUAGUAGUAUCAACGUAGGAAAAAAAAUACCAGAAACAAAAAGCAACCAACAAUAAAGAACAUAACUUUGUUCAAAGAAUUAAAAAUUUCAUAACAUACCCAAGAAUCUGCAAUUGUGAAUAAAUUGAGUGGUCAACACCAUCAAGAUGAAGGAGAUGACAUUGGUGUUGGUGUUGCAAUGUUGAAGUUGAGAUCGAUGUCAAUGUUUAAUGGAAUGGUGAUGAGGUAUGGGCUGGUGAGGCUAUAUGUGAUGGGUUGGUGGAGAAGGUCACCAUAGUGGGGAAGAUCAAGAGGAGAAGUUGGUGAUUCUGGUGCUACUUUUUUUGAAUUAUUAUUAUUAUGAUCCACCAAAAACAAACUCAACCUUCGAUUCUUGCUUUCUUGGAUUCCAAGUAAUGCAUUAUCAGUAAUGGCAAGACAAGUCACCUUGUUAGGAGAACCAGAAUAUAAUAAUAAUUGCUUUCUUGGAGUGUGGUGUCAAUGAAGAUAAUCUUGGAAGAGAGAAAUGAUAAUAAUUGUAGAGAAUGUGCAACGGUAAUCAAAGUCUUCAGGAUGAAGG
rnacentral:lncRNA from 1 species